ensembl:lncRNA novel transcript, antisense to PROZ
GAAAUGACAAGUGAGGUGAAAGUCAUAACAAUAAAUUGAAGCACGCGGAGAGCGCUCUGUUACCUGCCACGGGAGGUCCUGUAGAUCCGGUGCACGCUUCUCAGAGGUCAGCACCCCGCAGGCACACUGGUCUGCAUUUGCGGCAGCAACAUGAGAAUAAAAAUCAGCGCCUUCUCAGCGAA